CGCCCUGGCUGCAGGACCCAGAGCUCACGCUGGUACGCUGCUGCUGCAGUUACCAGAAAAACUCAUAAGCAAAUACAACUGGAUCAAGCAAUGGAAACUUGGACUGAAAUUUGAUGGGAAGAACGAGGACCUGGUUGAUAAAAUUAAAGAGUCCCUUACUCUGCUGAGGAAGAAGGUUUGGAACCUGUAGUGUCCUGUCUGAUAAGGGUGAAGCUCUCGUUCUUGCUUGUCCCAGAAGACCAGUUUUUAGUCUUCACUCAGUGGAUUUUCAAAUGCUUCUGGCUGAUUUUUAGGCAAAAUGGUUUUAAAUGAACUCAAACUCUUCCCACGAGGGCUUUAGUAAAAUGGGAAGUACCAACAUUAUAUAUUCUUAGAGCAGAUGCCAUGUACUAGGGUAUCAAAUAAUGAAGUGUUUGACUUUCUUAAAAGGAAACCUUAACAAAUAUAGUCUUUAUUCCAAGUCAUAUUU
rnacentral:sRNA from 1 species